GAAACGUCCUUUAUCGGUUCCUGAGAUAUCUUCUCCUGAAUAGAGGGAGAAAGUCCACAGUGCCUGGAGGGGCUGAGUGGGACAGUUGGUGUCUGCAGGGUUUGGGGUUGUUGACCAUUGUGUUUGUGAGAGCUGCAGCCUUGGGGUGUGCUGAGAGGAGCUUGGGGCACCAUACAGGAGCCAGGAGAGGCCAACUCAACCGUGGUCUUGAGGUUGGUGAAACAAGAGGCACGAGGCAUGAAGGAAAGAGAGACUCCCAAGACGUUGCAGAGGAGGAUGUGUCAGAGAGCUUGGUCACCAGGUGCAUGUCUAUCCCCCUUUAACCCCUCACCUUGGAAAAGCAAAGGUGGUGUCUGCAGGAGCAACACGUGUCCCUGCUGGAGGAGGGAGGACCACAGCACGGGCAAUUCAAGCGUGCUAAGGAGAAGCAUUUUGUCUUCCCUGUUUCAUUCUUUGUUGCCCUUGCCAAGUCAUUUCCGGCAGCUGUGCUCUCUCAGGGCUCUUGGUGGGGACGUGUGGCUUUUUUGAGUCUCUCUCACACAUGCAGGAGGAUUGGUCUCAGCAUGCACCUCGGGUAUCUCAUCCUCGCUGCUUUCCUGAGGCAACCACUAGGCACCAUGGGGCAGACCACCGUCACCCAGCAAGAAGGACAAGUCACAGUCAAGGAGAGAGACACCUUCCAGACCACCUGCACCUACCAGGUCACUAACUUUGAUGGAUUGCUCUGGUACCAGCAGAGGAAAGGCCAAGCCCCACAGCUUAUCUCAUAUCAGGCAGCAGCUGGCCCCAGGCGGAGUGGCCGUCUCACCACAUUGCUGAACACCACAGGGAAAAACAGCCUUCUCCAGCUGGAGGAAGUCGAGGUCUCUGACGCUGCCUUGUACCUCUGUGCUGUGCAAGACACGCUGGUGCAGGAAGUUUCCUUGGCUGUGCAAGAAGCCAGGGGAGAGAGGGCAUUGGUUUGUGUGAGGCUGAGCUUGGGGGAAGGGGCCCUCAGCUCUCCCCUGGCAGUGUUGCUUGCCCUGUACACCCAGAGCUCUGCAGGUCAAAAUCCUCUUCCAGGAGAGGACAGUGUCAGUGGCUUGAGAGGAAGAAGAAGGUGGUGAACGAGUCUCAGGUUCCCUCGUUUUCACCGUGGGUUAUGUGGUUAUCCUGCCCAUGGCUUUGGAGAAGUGAUGGGCAAUGUAGGAGGUUGGGACCGCUUCUGCAAUGGUUCCCUGCUGCUCUUAACUUUCUGGUUUUGUCUACUGCACAUUGCUUCUUCAGGUAUUCCUGCAAGCCUGUUCCUUAGAGUACCUGCUCCGGGAUGUGUCCCUCGGAGGUCAGAGUUCAAAGUAAGACGAAAAAUGUAAAUAACAUGCCACAGGACAACGCUCCUUCCAGGAAUUACAUGCUUACAACAAUUUUGGAAAAUACUCAGAACUACUCUGUGGCUCCUCCAGUUGCUGCAUGCCUAUGUGCUGUGAUCCAGAGGACCUGCUGUCCCCCAGUGCACUGUGCCGGUCCUUGGAGGCCUCCUCAUGCCCUGCCUCGUGGGCUUUCCCCAGCCCUGCCUCAUUUCUUCUGCAGUGGGACCAGGCUGUACAACUCUGUACCAGAGCACAAUGGGGGAAGAGACC